AUGACCAUAUCAGAUUUCCUGGCCUCAGAUGCUAGUUUUCUCAUAGUUUUCUUAUUUCAAAUAUCAUUAUUCCCUUUUCUCCUCGCCCCGUCAGGCCUGACCUCUAUGCUAAACAGGCCGGCUCACAAAGUCCCCGCUGACUCUCAGCAAAGCAAAGCUCCACCCUCCCACCCUCCCCCCUCCACCCUGACUACACCACCACCAACAACAACAACAACAGCAGCAGUAGCACCACCUCAAGCCAUGGGCAACCCUCCUCCCUCUCUGCCCUCCACACCUCCUCCAUCAGCCUUUGCGGCGAGGCAGAGGGCCGCCCCUCGGCCUGAAGUCCCCGUUCCCCCCCGUGGGGCCCUGCCGGCCCCCAGUGCGGCCCCCGCAGCCGCCCGUGCAGCCUCAGCCCUGGUGCAGGCCCUUCACCGGGACAUGGACCUGGCCCCGGAGCCCGAGCCGGCAGCGGGGGCGGCGGGGACGGCGGUGGCCUCCGACAGCCUGGAGUCCAAGAUCCACAGCUUCCUGCAGGGCAACCCGGGCUUCAGCGCUUUCAACCUGAGCUUCGGCGGCGACGCCGCGAAGACGGCGGCGGCGGCGGGCAGCCACAACCUCAGCCCCGGGGCCGGAACAGACACCCGCGACGGGACCCCCGUCCGGGACGAGGGCGGGGGCACGCCUACUCAGGAUGAGGUCAUGGACAACCAGGCAGCGCAGAAGUUCGCCUCGGAGCCGCCGCCGCCGCAGGGUACAAAACUGUCUGCCCAAGCGGCGGGGGACAUCUCGUUGCCUGGCACUUACCAGAACAACACCUCGCGUGCGCCCGGUGACCCCCCACAGCAGCCCCCCCGCAUGCAGCAGCAUCAAGGGGAGCCCCACAACGGCCAGGGCUACCAGCCGUACCGAGCCGCCGGCCAGGAGAUGGCUCUCCCUGGGGCGGCGGCCCCCGCUGGACACUACCAAGCCUUUACUACAGAGCAGGGGUCCCGCCUGCCGCUCCUGGGGGGCGGCCCGGGCACUGGCGGCGGCGGCCCACCCGGGGAGGGCUUCCGGGACGACGGACACAGGGGCUGGUACGAGAGUACCAGGGGCCGGGGCGUGGUCGCACCAGGGACCGGUGAAGAGCCACCGGGACGGUACCACUACCGCCAGGACCCCCAUCAGGAGCCACACAGCGUGGCUGCUCCACAGGGUCCCGGACCCCCCUCCGAGUUUUACAACAGUAACCUCCCGCCGGUGCCCAGGCUACCCCCGCCGCCCGCGGGCUUCGACGAGCCCCACGCCGCAGCCGCCGGCGAGCGUCGUCCCGCCCUCGCCCCGGAGAUGGAGGGCGCUCCGAGGCCCCAGGCGGGCAGCAUCAUCAGCGGGAUGGUGGUCCACGACCACCAGCACAAGUCCGUCUUCGGCCUCGACGACCCCCUUUACGAUCGCCGUGACGACCACUACCGUCGCCCCGAGGACCUGGCUCACCCGGACGACCCGCGCUACCAGGACGACCUCGGGCACUACCGCGAGGGCCCCUAUCGCCCCGCCGCUCCCCCUUACGGGGACGAAGGGCCCCCCUUCCGGCCGCCCCGGGAGCCUUACUUCCGCCCGGAGGAUCCCUACUUCCGAGAGGACAGCCCGCCCCAUGGGUACCCCAGGGGGGCGCUCUCCCCGUCCGAGGGCUUCCCCUAUGACUUUCACCCCCAUGGGUCCCCUCCCCUCUCGCACCAGAGGAGGCCGCCGCCGCCCCCCCAUUCUGAAAUGCGCCACCCUGGCCCGCGACCCCCCCUCCGCCCCAUGCUCCACCCAGGACACCACCCUCGGCCGAGGGGGCCCUGGCACCCAGGGCCGCCCGUCCCUCCCUUCCACGGCGGGCCCGAUCCGUGGCUUAGAGGCAAACGUCCGGGUCCAAGAGGCGGGGGGCCCGGCGGCCCCGGGGGUCUCGGUUUCCCCCCGAAAAGACCUUUCCUCCCACCCCGCUACUAA
rnacentral:lncRNA from 1 species